GUGAAUCAUCAAAUCUUUGAGCGCAAAUUGCACUCUCCUCGGAGAGUAUGCCUGUUUGAGGGUCAGCCUAUAAAAAAUCGACAUCGUUGCUGUUUCGCGGUGGCGUUCGUCGGAAAUUGGGUCAUCCUAAAUCCUUUUGAUUUAAGCGACUUAAAAUUUUCUUUUGGUUCCAUGAACGUUUCUAAGAUCUAUUUUUUACCACGUUUAGGGAUUGGAUUUUUCCUAGACGUGACCU
rnacentral:misc_RNA from 1 species